CCUGCAGUACACAGACAGGGGCGUCAGCACUCAGCGCCGCUGCGCAAAGACGGCUGCCCAGCACCCCCGGGGCUCUAGGUCCAUCCCAGGUUCCCUGGCCACUCAGGGUCAGCUCCGUUAGCAGCAUCGCGAGUGAGUACAGCAAGGACGCACAACAGCUGGUCUGAGUGAGCCACCUGGUACCCAGGAGGACGACAGCGGGGCAGAGGGGUUCCGUGGAAAGGCCCCGCUGCCAUACCCACGUGCUAAGGGAGGGGCAUGGAAGCCACGUCUAGUGGUACAGGUGUUUAAGGCAAUAACACACGUCAUCUCAGCCUUUCCCAGAAAACUCACGUUCCUGUGAACUCAAAAGUCACAACGUCCUCAUGACAUCGAAUACAUGUUAGAUAAGCAAGACCUGCCCAGAGGAAGUGACCCUUUUAUCCCAGCCAGCAAGGGUAGGAGGCUGCAGGCUUAAAUGGUCCACUGCCUGACCAGAACUCCUUGUCCCCAGUGUGAGAGGAAGCCAGAGAUUCAAGGACAUGCAAAAAGUCGCCAUAGCGAUGAGUCAGCCCAAGGCCCAGCAAACACGGGGCAUGCUCCUUGGCUCUUGGCUCCUUCACAACCCAUAAGCCCACCCUCACAGCUCCAUCUGCUGGUUCCUGUUCCUCCCCCACCUCCCUGCUUUAGCUUCUUUCCUUCAUUCUGUAUCUACCCUCAACCCUUCACCUUCUUAAUGGGUCACAACAUAAAACAGAAACAACGAAAAGUGCGUAAGUUAGCAUCCAGUGUUUCUAGUGGCCUGUUCUUGAUGUUCAAAAUCAGGUAAGUAACACUUUACAGGUCUCUUCCGUUUCUCAAAAAACAUGGCUUUCAUUAGGUCACUGGCUCUACCAUGACCAAAUAUUUGUGUUAAUUUGGGGGGGGGAGAAUCUGCCCAGUCAUCUUCUUUACAUCUCUUCCAUUACGUAAUGAAAAGUCUCCCGGUAAGGAAAACACUAUUUCACUCCUGCUAUUUGACCAAUAGGUGACGUGACUCCAUCUGAUGGGAAAAUACGCCCGGGUCUAAUAGGCUUCCCUUCUGGAUGCACAGUUAAAUACACAGCUACCAAGUUCGUCAGCUACCUUUGUCUAUAAGAUAGACACUUGUGUUUCCACAUUCUUUGAGGCAAAUUUGGAGUGGAGGAAUUCACAUAGUAUUCCCAACAUGCAUCACGUUUGAGUUCUAAGCACAGCGAGACACUUUUCGAUCUCAUACUCUGCAGGGCACUAUAAUGGGCACUAUACUGGUAGAUGGGGGGGGCUGUCAAUGCAACUAAUUUCAAUCAUUCUUUUUAAUGACCACUGGAAGGGAGAGACAGCCAACAUGUCGUCACCUUACAAAAGUGCUAGCAAAUUUCAGAUACUGACACCAUCUUCUCACUUUUUGUACGCUGAACCAAGAUUUAGGCCCCCCAAACAAAGGCAUAGUAAUCCGGUCAGCUCCCCAGGAAGGAGUCAACUUGCUCCCAACUUCCUGCAACUCUCAGGCUCCAUUCCAAACUUACUCGUCCAACAGCACCAAGUAUGGUUGCUCCCUUGCAUUCUUCGCAGGCUCGGCCUGUCCUCGCCGUGCAUGGACGGCUCACCCAGUCCACUCUAGGAGGGGAUGCCCAGGGAGUGGGCACAGCAGUGCCUGUUCAGCACAGCCCGGGCUGGGAAGUGGUCACGGGGGCGGGGGCGGGGGAGCGCGGAGGAGCAGUGUUCUAGGUGGUUCUUCCCACUGCAGGCACAGUACCCUUCCUCACUCAGUGCAUCAAACGUCCUUCUCUCCAGUGGACCACUGAGAAUUCAGCUCCCACAAAGUCCCCGAAAGCUAACUGCACCAAAUCCAGGCAUUCCAAUCAGUGCCAACACACUCAAGAUGAUUCUUUUUACAAACUUUCCCACACUUCAGUGUUGUCUACCCUGUGCCGUUAGUCCUGUGAGAACAGAAUUCGCGUUUUAUCUUUUCAAGUACAAAGCCGUGUCUUCUCCAUAUGGGCUGACUGAUAUCUAACCUAAGAUUUCCGAAUAAGGCAGGCUUUGAUGUCACACAGCAAGCCAGGGUUUGCAGGACAGCACAGACGUGAAAGAUUCACACGGAACUGUCACUCGACAUGGCAAUCCCGUGUAUUCAGACUGUGUUAUCAAUCACACCAGAAGGCCAUGCAGAUACUCACCUGUCCUUGGGGAAGGGGUUCACUUUGCAAGCUUCCAGCAAAAACUUAACCACUUCCACAUGACCUACAGCCCCCAACACACAAAAGGAGAUUUUAGUUUGGAGAAGAAUUGAAGUCUGUAAAAACCGUAGCAGCAAGCGGUCCGCGCAUUACCCUCGGCGGCAGCCACGUGGAGGGCCGUUCUGGAGUCGUAGUCCCGCUGCUCCAUGUCCAUGGCCGACAGGGCAAACCUGAAAGUCCGGAACAGCCGUUCAGUACAGGAGGUCAGGUUAACCCGGUGGUAACAGUUACUCCAUCUGUUCAGGCCAGGCCGCACAUUCAGAUCCCACGCUCUCCCAGCUCCACUAAUGGUACCCAGCUCAGCCCGCACAAAUGGUGAACACGUGGGUGAAUGCCAUGUGACCGCUCCUCCUCAGCUACUUUCAAGUGAGAUGCCCACUAGCUGCCGCUCCCAGAACUAAGCUUCAUCCCAUCAUGAUGCCAACCCAGGAGCAGCCCCCAAGAGGCAAAAGCGCCCACAGUAAAGCUGGGUGUUUCCAGCAGGGCUCCCCUUCUUUGCCUACACUGCCUGGAGUUACCCGUGCUGCUAAGGCUUUAAAACAGCAUGGAAAUCAACUUAGCUCCGAAAGGGAACUCGCGCUCGGUAUUCAGUGGCCCACGGCCUUUCUAAUCCUGGUAACAUGCGACACCGAUCACCUGCGUCCUGCCUCACCAGAGAUCCAUUACAGCGAACCACCAGCCCCAGAGAGCUGGGCUUCUAUGGAAGGACAAGAAGCAGGUCCGAGACACCGGAAGUGGGGGGCCGGUCUAAGUGGAAGUGGGGUACUUUGUAUCUUAUUUGGUGACUUGUAUUACAAGUAUGAGUGAGACCUUAAGACCUUCCAACACCUAAAGCCACGGCGCAUCCACCCAGCGAGCAUACCUCCGGAGGGCAGACACAUCUCCAGUAUACGCAGCGAACAGAAGGUUUAUUACCGACUUUACCUGCGAACAAAGAAGAGACAGGCAUUUGCGGGAGAAGGCAAACACGGCCGCUGCCACGUAGUUCCGUGGGCUUUGAACUUCAGCUGUGCUGGUCAAUAUUAUCUCGGGUGCAUACCUAAAGAACACACACGGACUUUUCUUUUACCAGGACUGUGGAAAAGUCUAGAACGCUGACACAGACUGACGCUCCUAGCACUGCCAUCUGCAGUUAGAACGGCCUGGAAAACCUCACACAGCAUGUCUCGCUGCUGCGAAUCCGUGUGCACAUGGGUAAAGGACGCAUCGCAUGCUGAAACCACUCAGGCUACAUAAAUGUGUCAUCCCCGGCAGCAUUACUGUCCCCACUGGUUACCGACUGCUUGGCAAAUCGGAGACAGAAGCAGGAAAAGUGGUAGAAAACGGGUCCCAUUAGUCUCUUGGUAACUGAUGGUUCUGCUGAGUUAUGAGUCACCACUCAUGAACGCGGUGCUUGUCACGUUCAGAAGAAGGCGUAAGUCAUUGGAACGAGUUGGAGACCGUUGUUGAGUCACACCACAAGAUGCCCUGAACCAAGGGUCCUCUGCAGGAGCCAUCUCUCCAGCCCAGGACCAGCUCCAUCCCCAGCUCCCCUCUGCUGCAAGCUGAACAAUUCUUAAGACUACUGUUUCCCACUGUCUGCACCCACUCAGUUUCUCUUUCAUUAGCUUCUUUUGUACUUUCAGCAGGCAAAGGCCAGGGUGAAGAACCCCACCGACGACCCUGAAACAGCAGACAGGAAUGACUCCAUUGGCCAUAUCAAGGCCAUCUCCACAGCUCCCUCAGUCUUACUCAAAACACCAACUUCUCUUCCCUUCAGUUCCUGCCUCAGACCACAGUACUGUUAACUGAGUGUUUCUUCACGGGCCCACGCAGGCAGUUUUCUGGCUCUGCUGCUAGGGUCUUUGCUCCUAGCGUCUUUAUUUCCCUCCUGCGCCGGCUCCCUUAUGUCCGCCAUCAUACACACAAAAACCCUUCACUCGGUAUUUGGCCCUACAGUUUUUCCCUUUCAGUCAGUCUUUUCUGAAUACGUUUUUGACUCCCCUGAGAAUCACCCUCACAUUCUGUUACCAGGAUUCCCCAAGUUCCCGUGCCUUCCCUCUCUCACGACACUGCAGCGCCCUGAACGCCCUUCUCUUGACUGCUAUGCCCACUCUCCACGGCCUUGUCGUCCUUUAGAGGCCCUCACUAUCCUGUCUAUAGCACUGUCUCCCUCAGAUGCGUUCACAGGUUCUUCUAGUCAGAAUGACUUCCCCAUCUAGACCUUUAAGCUCAAAAGUCCCAAUUCUAACUCUAUCAUUCAUUAUAAAUUAUACCUAAUUUCUAACUCAUUGACUCCACCUGACUGUCCAGCUGACAUUUCACAUUCAAAAUCAGAGUCAGGCCUGAGUCCUGGGUCCGCCUGCUGACUGACCAGCGCCAAGAUAUAAAACAGGCAUGUCACCUUCACGUCCGAAUAGAUCUUGGUUUGUGCUGCUUUCCUCUCCUCCAGGAUCUCCUAGCCCAGCAUGACACAGAUUCAGGUCUUGUUCAUUCUAAAUCCCUGAUGCUGAUGGUCCACAACUGAGAGUUGAUGCUCCACAGGGAGGGCUGACUGAAGCUAAAGAGGGUAGCCAGCACCAGCCCCUUUCACCCAAGUGCCCCUGCUGAAGUGGGGGAGGCUCCUUUACCCGGGGGAACUGAGAGCGUCUGCCACACACUCCCCAAGUCUGUGCUUACCAUCCGUACCCAGAUUACCCCUCUAACACCGCUGCUCUCGGCCUACCUAGGCCACAGCCUUACCUCAGGAGGACAGCAACGGCCUGGCCUACCUCUUCCCGCUAACUCCUACCGCAGGACACCAGAACGGCAGUGCAUUCGUCACCUCCACCUUACCUACCAACUUCCACUCUGCCAGGGCAUGCGGGACUCAAAGGUUCCAUCCCCUGGUGACGCUGCAUGCCAGCUGCAUGCCAUUCUCUAUGAACUCCUACCUGACGGCUUUGCCCCACCAGGAAGUUUUUGCUCAUUAUGCAGUCAAAGCCUCCACUUCUCCCAGGAACGUUUCCCACAGUGAGGAGACCCUUUUGCAAUACCCAGGUCACCUCCUGAGGACUCAGCCUGUCUUCCCUUCACUCCUCACCCCCCCCCUUCAUUUUCCUUCCCAGGGGAACUAUUAUUACCUGACCCCCAACUUUUUUUUAAUCAUCUUUGUUCCAUUACAUAUAAACUCCAUAUGAGCAGAAGCCUCAUUUUCUUUCCUGUGACCUGAGUCCCUCGUGUAUCCUAAAGUGGCCCUUAGUACUAACUAAAUGAACACUCUCCUGCUAAGCAUCUAACAUUCGCUGUUACCACUGCCUGGAGCCCAGAAGCAUUAGCCCGGCACUCAAGGUUCUUCAGUCUUGCUAAUCCGUUUUUCCCUCUCAAUUUCAACACAACAAAGCUGUCUCACUCACAAGGCCCUUGUUCCCGCUCCUGCUUGUGUUGGGCGGCUCUGUUCUCACACUGAAGCCAUUCAGACUCCUGCCUGCCUGCACCGCGUGUACCAGGACCCAUGGGGAGAUGUGUUUCCCUACAACCUGAACACAGUCUGCUCCUCAGUCACAGGGCGUGGGCUCUGAGUACCAGCCCCCCAUCCAUUUCUCAAUGAGAUGUCACUGGUGCCCCACUGGAAACACACUAAUCCACUAUGUGCCUGUUUGUCCCCUUACGGCACUGUCACAUAAGACUCUAUGGUGUAUUUCCUUUUAACCCCAGAUUCUGGUGUACAUAGCAAUAUUGUCUUACGCACGUCCUUAAUGGCUACCUUUUCUAAGUAGUAAAAGUCCUCAUGUGUCUUAGUUACUGUACACAUUAACUACAUGCCUUUGUCCUGGGGUGGGCUUGCUUGUCCUCAGUGCUGGGGCCUGAACUCAGGGCCUUGAACUCUUGAGGAAGGUGUUCUGCAAGCCCUUGACUUUUAAGAUCCCAAAUUUAGAGCAAGCAUCUUUGAAGAUAAUUUCUGUGCCUUGACUAAAAGAAGGGCCGAAAGGCACGUUCUUAUAAGGCUUGGGACAGGCUUGCCUCACAAUAUAAUUAGCCUAUUUGAGGUUCACUGACAGGUGAUCCUCAAGUAUGUUUCAGUUCAGAUAAAUACAAAUUGAAAUUAAAUGAGAAAGCAAUGAGAAUAUACAGCAAUUCUGUGGUAAACAGGAGGGACGCCAGCUCGCCUUAACAAAACCGACUAAAGGGUACCUAAUCGUGGAAGUUUAUUAUUCUCAUUAAAACAAAAGGCCUGAAUUUGGCCCAAAUCAGUAAAAAAGGUUUGCUCACAAAGCGUCUCUCAGACAGAAGGCACUAGAAGGUAUCACGUGUCUGGGUAACACGUAACAAUAAAUCACAAAUGCCUCAGUUUUAGAGUCCCUACCGGAAGCCCUGGCUGGCUCUGAACUCGCAUCCUCCCAUUCAGCCUGUGGGCUCCUGGGAUUACAGGGACGUGCCAUCUACACCCUACGCCACCUAGGUUUCGUUUAUGUAAUUCAUGGAAUGAGGUUGGGUAGAAAUAAGCAGCUUCAAAGACAAAAGAGGGGCAUUAUUUACUCGGGGACAGCCCUUUUCCUACGCGGUUCAGUUAAACUGAAACCCUACAGAAGGGCCAUGGUGAGGAAGCUGAAGGGAAGGCCUCCUGCGAUGCUCUAAUCUCAGCGGCCGGCCAGGUCAACCCUGAGGACAUGGCCAUGCUAACGCUCAGAGGCUCUUCCCAACCUCCCUCUCCUCUGACACCAGAGGUUCAGAAAACAGUAGGUUGCUUCACAGUGACUGCCAGAGGAUUCCUUAGUAACGUAAACACAGAGCAAACAGGGCAGGAGCAGGAACAUCUGUAAAUCCAGGGCUCUGACGUUGAGUGCGUCCCUCCCCACAGUGAAAACCCCUUUAGGACCUGUAGGCACCAAAAGCUCACAAAUUCAAGGCUGAGUUCCCGUGUUGUGCACGCUUUCCAGUGCAAUUUUCCUUAUCUCGUUUUUAUCAGAAUUUGCCAGAACCAGACCUUAGUUUAUUUGUACAAAGUCACAGCAGUGGUAGAAAAAUGUUGCAGUUCACUUGAGUUCACCUGACUCUGGCAUCCUGGGCAGGCCCGGGCUUACUUUUCCUGCCAUAGCUGUGCGCAUGCGUGCAUGCGUGUGUGUUUUCCUAAGCUUUCGACCUAAAAUAUGACAGAAAGCCUAACAUUCCAACGCCGUCAACUUGUUCUUUUGAAUUCUAGAAGGUUCAGUUGUGACUUCUGUUUCUCCAAUACCCUGCUAAUUGCGCUGUCAGUAAUAAUUAUUGAAUGGAUCCUGCUGAGUUUAAGCAGUGGGUAAAUUAGGAUAAAUUCAACAUUUACGGUUAUUUUGGGAUCCCUGACAGGCCAGAUUAAAAUAUGUAGAUUGCUACGUUUUAUUUAUUAAAUGCCACAAAGACGAAGAGCCUUGGCUUGAGGUCACAGGACACAAUCAGUGACUGGGUCCAGAUCGGGCAUCUGUGUUCUCAAUUCUAUACUUGACCAGGACACAGAACUCGAGACACCUUAAAUUCUUAGCCGAAGACGAGAAGGACACCGAACAAGUUAGUUCUAACUCCUAAUGGACCUCUGCUAGCCUGUCACCAGCUGGAAACUGUGGGCUCUUGAUUCUUCUUCCUCGGCUGGUCUCUACAUAAGACCCAGUUGUUAGACGGCUCUAAUGAAAACCUUAAACAGGUGACUGACUACAAGGCUGUCCUGUCUGACCGGCCUGUUCUCCGUUUCUGCUCCCUGCAGUAUCUGUUGCAUGGAAUGGAUACUUCGCCUGCUAAAUAAACCAUCGUGACUGCAGAUCCUAUUUUGUUUUAAAAGUCUCCCUCAAAAAAUUCUCAGUAACGUGUAAUCGAGAAGACUUGCUUUAAAAUGA